rnacentral:tRNA from 1 species
GCCUGGGUGGCUCAGUCGGUUGAGCGUCCGACUUCGGCUCAGGUCAUGAUCUCACAGUUCGUGAGUUCGAGCCCCGCAUCAGGCU